rnacentral:rRNA from 1 species
UGCAGUCGAGCGGAUGAAGGGAGCUUGCUGCCUGGAUUCAUCGGCGGACGGGUGAGUAAUGCCUAGGAAUCUGCCUGGUACUGGGGGAUAACGUCCGGAAACGGGCGCUAAUACCGCAUACGUCCUGAGGGAGAAAGUGGGGGAUCUUCGGACCUCACGCUAUCGGAUGAGCCUAGGUCGGAUUAGCUAGUUGGUGGGGUAACGGCCUACCAAGGCGACGAUCCGUAACUGGUCUGAGAGGAUGAUCAGGCACACUGGAACUGAGACACGGACCAGACUCCUACGCCAGGCAGCAGUGGGGAAUAUUGGACAAUGGGCGAAAGCCUGAUCCAGCCAUGCCGCGUGUGUGAAGAAGGUCUUCGGAUUGUAAAGCACUUUAAGUUGGGAGGAAGGGCAGUAAGUUAAUACCUUGCUGUUUUGACGUUACCAACAGAAUAAGCACCGGCUAACUUCGUGCCAGCAGCCGCGGUAAUACGAAGGGUGCAAGCGUUAAUCGGAAUUACUGGGCGGAAAGCGCGCGUAGGUGGUUCAGCAAGUUGGAUGUGAAAUCCCCGGGCUCAACCUGGGAACUGCAUCCAAAACUACUGAGCUAGAGUACGGUAGAGGGUGGUGGAAUUUCCUGUGUAGCGGUGAAAUGCGUAGAUAUAGGAAGGAACACCAGUGGCGAAGGCGACCACCUGGACUGAUACUGACACUGAGGUGCGAAAGCGUGGGGAGCAGACAGGAUUAGAUACCCUGGUAGGCCACGCCGUAACGAUGUCGACUAGACGUUGAGAUCCUUGACAUCUUAGUGGGGCAGCUAACGCGAUAAGUCGACCGCCUGGGCAGUACGGCCGCAAGGUAAGACUCAAAUGAAUUGACGGGACGCCGCCC